GUUGUCAUUUGCCCAACAAGGGAAUUUGCCAUACAGGUGAAAUUAUUGUUAUAACCUUUUGGCAUAAUGAUUUUGUAAUUUUUUUUCCUGUGAAUUUGCACUUCUUCCAGUCUAGUAGUUAGUCAUGUAUUGGCUUCCAUUCCAUGCAAUAAUUACUUAUCAACUAGAGUGUCCACAUGAAUUAUCUUUAGGCAAGCUGUAUUAUUACUCUUUUAGUUUAGUAUUGUAAACUAAAAGCUGCGCACUUUCAUUUUGUGUGAUCUUCUCAGUGUUUCCUAUUAAAUACUAGAAAACCAUUUAUAGCUACAAUGUCAUUGAAAGUUUGCAAAUAGUUUGAGGUCCCUGUCGUGGGAGUGGGAGUAAAUAGUCAAUCAGGCAGACUUCUUUUGGUAUGUACAAUUGAAAGGGAACAAUUGUAGGUUCACAACAUAGCCUUAUAUAGGGCUAUUUUGGAGAAAAUUCUUUUGAUAUGCUUCUCUAUUGAGGUAGAUAUUAAGAAUCAAAUACGACAUCAAUGAAGUUGCUGUAUUAAAUAAGCAAUUCAAGCUAAAAAUGGUUUAUGGAGUUAAUAAAUACGAAAGUUUUGAAGUUUAUUACUCUCCUUAAUAAAUUUGAAGGCCUACAUUUAAGAUUACUGACAUUAUGAACAAGUAGAAACUGACCAUUAUUGAUUAAAGCAAAGUUAGAAUCCAAACAAGGAUAAGCAGAGAAAAAAUAAAUUUAAUCAUGUGUCAUAUGGGAUGUUGUAGUUGUGCCGGGACGGAUGAAUUCAGGGAGGAUGAGGAUGGGCUGCAGUGUCUGAGUUUAAAAAUUUUCAGUUAGCAUGUAUGACUUUGAUAAACUCUACUCUUUUCCUAACUUAACAUGUAUGGUUGAUAUUUCCUGCCUUUUCUUCAUUUUGGUUUUAAAAAGUGAAAUUAAUAACUGGAGCUAGCUUGCUUUUUUGAUUCUUGAAGUUUAUUUUCCUCUUAAAACCUACUCAUGAUUAGGGCAUGUUGAUUGCUGUACUCUAAGUGGUAUGUACUCUUCCUAUGCAAAAGCUAUAAGAUUUCCCAAAUUAUCAUUUAGUUUUAAAGUUUAAUUAGUUUGCUGAAGAUAUCCCUUGAUAGUUGAUUGAUUGAUUUUCCCUUGCAAUUUGAUGUUGUGAACUUGUGAUUAACGGUAAUUGAUCUUAGUGGUAUGAGAAGGCUGUGAUGUGACUUCUUAUUGGCAGCAUGCUUUAAUUUGCAAAUUAACUUGUUGAAGAUGAUAACAAGAAAUUGAAAGAAAAAAUUUUGGCAUAUUUAUAGGGAAGGGGAAUUUUGGCUUUGGAAGAAUGGAGUCAAAUGGUUCAAGUAUAAAAUUAGUGAAAAAAUAGCUGCAAAUUGCAUUAGCAGUAUGGUAGCGGUAGACACCAUUGCAACCUGGAGGUGUCCCAUGAUCAAAAUCUAGCAGUGACAUAAUUAUAUAUAUAGCCCUCAUAUCUUUACAUAUACAUCUGUACUUCACAUGAGUUUGUUAAUCUUCCUAUCCAUAUGCUAUCUACUGCUAUUCCAGAAUAUUUUUACAUUUUGUUCUUUCAGCUUUUUUUUAUCAUUUCAUCCUUUAAGAUGUACUUAUUUUGUAAAAAGUUAAUAUAAGCAGAGAAGCUUAGUCCAGCGCAAUUAUUUGUGAAAUUAGCAAAAUAAAAUGACCAUAGCUGUUGAAUGUUACGUUGCCUUGGAGUUUCACCUCUUACACUCUUCUACUUAUUUCAAGUUUUCAACAUUCAAAUGCUUCAGACUCAUGCUGUUGCAAAGGAC
rnacentral:misc_RNA from 1 species